GUUGCAUAUCGACUUAAGAUAUUUUUGGAAAAGAAAAUGAAGGCGUAGUAUUGAGGUUUUAAUAUAUUUGUGACAGUAGAUUAUAAUGUACAAAUCAUAAAUAAAUCUUAAUGAUUAUGUUCUGACUCUACCUUAUGCAAAGCUGGACAAGCAGAGGUGACAUGACGUUUGCUUCUCAAACGUUUGCUCGGGUCUUAAUGGCCCGAAUUCACAAAGGAAUAGGGUUUAUUUAGUUUUGGAGGUUGCUUUUUGUGUUUGGCUUAAAGUGCAGAUUUCCCAUCAGAGCAAUUGUCGCCGGAGCAAAUGUCGUGGAACUGCAGCACUUGGAAUUAAAUGGCAUAAAUAAAAUCAGAAAUAAGCAGCGAGGUUUAGGCAAACUGCUUAUCUAAAAAAAAUGCAGUUUUUAAAUAAUACAUUAUCACUCAUAUCACUAGUAUUCUUAUAAUAUCACUAGUAGUUCGUUUUGGUACAUCAAUACUGUAUACCAACUAUUACAUCCAUACUCUGUUUCCUUUAUAC